rnacentral:rRNA from 1 species
AUUGAACGCUGGCGGCAGGCCUAACACAUGCAAGUCGAGCGGAUGAAGGGAGCUUGCUCCUGGAUUCAGCGGCGGACGGGUGAGUAAUGCCUAGGAAUCUGCCUGGUAGUGGGGGAUAACGUCCGGAAACGGGCGCUAAUACCGCAUACGUCCUGAGGGAGAAAGUGGGGGAUCUUCGGACCUCACGCUAUCAGAUGAGCCUAGGUCGGAUUAGCUAGUUGGUGGGGUGAAGGCCUACCAAGUCGACGAUCCGUGACUGGUCUGAGAGGAUGAUCAGUCACACUGGAACUGAGACACGGUCCAGACUCCUACGGGAGGCAGCAGUGGGGAAUAUUGGACAAUGGGCGAAAGCCUGAUCCAGCCAUGCCGCGUGUGUGAAGAAGGUCUUCGGAUUGUAAAGCACUUUAAGUUGGGAGGAAGGGCAUUAAGUUAAUACCUUGCUGUUUUGACGUUACCAACAGAAUAAGCACCGGCUAACUUCGUG